GACGAACGCUGGCGGCGUGCCUAAUACAUGCAAGUAGAACGCACAGUUUAUACCGUAGCUUGCUACACCAUAGACUGUGAGUUGCGAACGGGUGAGUAACGCGUAGGUAACCUGCCUGGUAGCGGGGGAUAACUAUUGGAAACGAUAGCUAAUACCGCAUAAUAUUAAUUAUUGCAUGAUAAUUAAUUGAAAGGUGCAAUUGCACCACUACCAGAUGGACCUGCGUUGUAUUAGCUAGUAGGUGAGGUAACGGCUCACCUAGGCGACGAUACAUAGCCGACCUGAGAGGGUGAUCGGCCACACUGGGACUGAGACACAGCCCAGACUCCUACGGGAGGCAGCAGUAGGGAAUCUUCGGCAAUGGACGAAAGUCUGACCGAGCAACGCCGCGUGAGUGAAGAAGGUUGUCGGAUCGUAAAGCUCUGUUGUAAGAGAAGAACGGGUGUGAGAGUGGAAAGUUCACACUGUGACGGUAUCUUACCAGAAAGGGACGGCUAACUACGUG
rnacentral:rRNA from 1 species